UCCGUUUUGUCAACGGCAGUCCCUUUAGAGUGCUCUUGCGUAGCAACUAAAGGUAAGGGUUGCGCUCGUUGCGGGACUUAACCCAACAUCUCACGACACGAGCUGACGACAACCAUGCACCACCUGUCUAUAUGCUCCCGAAGGAGUUUCAUCUAUCUCUAGACUAUGCAUACGAUGUCAAGACCUGGUAAGGUUCUUCGCGUUGCUUCGAAUUAAACCACAUACUCCACUGCUUGUGCGGGCCCCCGUCAAUUCCUUUGAGUUUCAACCUUGCGGCCGUACUCCCCAGGUGGAUUACUUAUUGUGUUAACUGCGGCACGGAAGGGGUCAGUCCCCCCACACCUAGUAAUCAUCGUUUACAGCGUGGACUAC
rnacentral:misc_RNA from 1 species